rfam:Catenaria anguillulae PL171 BCR44scaffold_21, whole genome shotgun sequence.
GCCCUUGUAGCUCAGUGGCAGAGCGUUGGUCUUGUAAACCAAAGGUCCCGAGUUCAAUCCUCGGUGGGGGCA